CGAAAUUGGAGGCAUUGCCUGCCAGUGACAACUGUUUAACGGCCGCGGUAUCCUGACCGUGCAAAGGUAGCAUAAUCAUUUGUUCUCUAAAUAAGGACUUGUAUGAAUGGCCGCACGAGGGUUUUACUGUCUCUUACUUCCAAUCAGUGAAAUUGACCUUCCCGUGAAGAGGCGGGAAUGCACAAAUAAGACGAGAAGACCCUAUGGAGCUUUAACUAACCAACCCAAAGAGAAUAGAUUUAACCAUUAAGGAAUAACAACAAUCUCCAUGAGUUGGUAGUUUCGGUUGGGGUGACCUCGGAGAAUAAAAAAUCCUCCGAGCGAUUUUAAAGACUAGACCCACAAGUCAAAUCACUCUAUCGCUCAUUGAUCCAAAAACUUGAUCAACGGAACAAGUUACCCUAGGGAUAACAGCGCAAUCCUAUUCAAGAGUCCAUAUCGACAAUAGGGUUUACGACCUCGAUGUUGGAUCAGGACAUCCUGAUGGUGCAACCGCUAUCAAAGGUUCGUUUGUUCAACGAUUAAAGUCCUACGUGAUCUGAGUUCAGACCGGA
rnacentral:rRNA from 1 species